GACGAACGCUGGCGGCGUGCCUAAUACAUGCAAGUUGAGCGCUGAAGGUUGGUACUUGUACCAACUGGAUGAGCAGCGAACGGGUGAGUAACGCGUGGGGAAUCUGCCUUUGAGCGGGGGACAACAUUUGGAAACGAAUGCUAAUACCGCAUAAAAACUUUAAACACAAGUUUUAAGUUUGAAAGAUGCAAUUGCAUCACUCAAAGAUGAUCCCGCGUUGUAUUAGCUAGUUGGUGAGGUAAAGGCUCACCAAGGCGAUGAUACAUAGCCGACCUGAGAGGGUGGUCGGCCACAAUGGGACUGAGACACGGCCCAAACUCCUACGGGAGGCAGCAGUAGGGAAUCUUCGGCAAUAGACGAAAGUCUGACCGAGCAACGCCGCGUGAGUGAAGAAGGUUUUCGGAUCGUAAAACUCUGUUGGUAGAGAAGAACGUUGGUGAGAGUGGAAAGCUCAUCAAGUGACGGUAACUACCCAGAAAGGGACGGCUAACUACGUG
rnacentral:rRNA from 1 species